rnacentral:rRNA from 1 species
UACGUAGGGUGCAAGCGUUGUCCGGAAUUAUUGGGCGUAAAGAGCUCGUAGGCGGUCUGUCGCGUCGGCUGUGAAAACCCGAGGCUCAACCUCGGGCCUGCAGCCGAUACGGGCAAGCUAGAAUUCGGUAGGGGAGACUGGAAUUCCUGGUGUAGCGGUGAAAUGCGCAGAUAUCAGGAGGAACACCGGUGGCGAAGGCGGGUCUCUGGGCCGAUAUUGACGCUGAGGAGCGAAAGCGUGGGGAGCGAACAGG